GACGAACGCUGGCGGCGUGGAUUAGGCAUGCAAGUCGGACGGUAGGGCUUUAUCGUAAGAUAGAGUUUGAGAGUGGCGAACGGGUGAGUAACACGUAGGAAUCUACCCUUAAGACGGGGGACAACCCAGGGAAACUUGGGCUAAUACCGGAUGAGAGUGCGAGAGAUUGCAUUUAAAAGGAUGGCGAAAGUUGUCGCUUAGGGAUGAGCCUGCGGUCUAUUAGUUAGUUGGUGAGGUAAGAGCUCACCAAGGCGAUGAUAGAUAGGCGGCCUUAACGGGUGGUCGCCCACACUGGGAUUGAGAUACGGCCCAGACUCCUACGGGAGGCAGCAGUUGGGAAUCUUAGGCAAUGGACGAAAGUCUGACCUAGCGACGCCGCGUGAGGGAAGAAGGCCUUCGGGUUGUAAACCUCUGUCAUGGGGGAAGAAGUAAGUGACGGUACCCAAGAGGAAGCCCCUGCUAACUACGUGCCAGCAGCCGCGGUAAUGAGUACUACA
rnacentral:rRNA from 1 species